UACGUAGGGGGCAAGCGUUGUCCGGAUUUAUUGGGCGUAAAGAGCGUGUAGGCGGUUUGGUAGGUCCGCUGUGAAAACUCGAGGCUCAACCUCGAGACGCCGGUGGAAACCAUCAGACUAGAGUCCGGAAGAGGAGAGUGGAAUUCCUGGUGUAGCGGUGAAAUGCGCAGAUAUCAGGAAGAACACCAAUGGCGAAAGCAGCUUUCUGGGACGGUACUGACGCUGAGACGCGAAAGCGUGGGGAGCGAACAGU
rnacentral:rRNA from 1 species